UACGUAGGGUGCGAGCGUUGUCCGGAAUUAUUGGGCGUAAAGGGCUCGUAGGCGGUUUGUCACGUCGGGAGUGAAAACUCGGGGCUUAACCCCGAGCCUGCUUCCGAUACGGGCAGACUAGAGGUAUGCAGGGGAGAACGGAAUUCCUGGUGUAGCGGUGAAAUGCGUAGAUAUCUGGAGGAACACCGGUGGCGAAGGCGGCAUCCUGGACCAUUACUGACACUGAAAAGCGAAAGCCAGGGGAGCAAACGGG
rnacentral:rRNA from 1 species